UACAGAGGUCUCAAGCGUUUGUUCGGAUUCAUUGGGCGUAAAGGGUGUGUAGGUGGCGCCGUAAGUCGGGUGUGAAAUUUCGGAGCUUAACUCCGAAACUGCAUUCGAUACUGCGGUGCUUGAGGACUGGAGAGGAGACUGGAAUUCAUGGUGUAGCAGUGAAAUGCGUAGAGAUCAUGAGGAAGACCAGUGGCGAAGGCGGGUCUCUGGACAGUUCCUGACACUGAGACACGAAGGCCAGGGGGAGCAAAACGGGG
rnacentral:rRNA from 1 species